UUCCUUUCCUUGCCAAUGAUCAUAAGUUCAUAACUCUUACCAGUAAUUCUUCUCUCCGAGACUUCUGUUCUUAAAAUUCACGCAAUUCCCAGUGCUCCACCCUUCAUUCUCACUUCUAUAACCGUCUCGACUAACAUUCUCUUUCCCGUGCCUCUUCCCUUUGUUUGCACCUUCUUCAUCCCACGCGCUCUUUAUACGUACCUUUCCGACUGCCCAUGUGAGGCAAUCGCUCCCGCCAAUCACACGAACAGUUCAGUUCAUGACUGACUAGUCCUGACAAUGAUUUCUGUUGAUGCCCCACAUUUCUCUGUUUGCACCUCAAUCUAAUUCGAUGACUUGUCCUUCUCUUCUCCACUUUCCAUUGCCCCUGUACUUUAUGAGCAUUUCUAGCCAGCCCUUCUCUUUACGGCCAUAAGGUUGGCUCAUUAUUAGGUUUCAUGCCUCUCCUAGCGGAUGCGCCUAUGACAAAUGGGAACUAUGAUUUAUGAUGAAUAUCGGUGAUGCCUUUUCGUUUUAUGAGUUUUUUUUUUAAAGCAUAGUUCUUCAUGAAAUGAGUUAAUAUCAUUAGUUGUUUCUUAGCUAUACCCGCUCUAUGGGUAAAAAUAUAAACAAAAAUACAUUUUUUGUUUGACUUUUCAUCAAGCACAUUGUCUUCAAUUCAUCCUCAAAUAUUAUUCCUGCACUAAUUUAACGGGGGAUUAUUACUAUAGAUGGAUGGAUAUUGUCGUGGAGGUUGCUACAAUUUCAAAGAAAUACAGUCAAUCUAUUGAUAGUGUCAA